ACAUUUCAGGUCAUGUGGCUUCAAACCAGGAAGUUGUUCUCCUGCCUUGCAGAGGUGUUUUGUCUUCACCUGUGGUUUUAUCUUCUGGCUUCUAUCUGCAAACACUUCUAUACCAGAUAUGUCCUGACCUUUUGCCCGAGAGUUCAAACGACCCGACUGAAACUUACGAGCGAGCUCUGGACCAAGCCGGAGGAGGAGGAGGAGGAGGAGGAAGAGGAGCGUGAGAGUAAAAGAAUGGAGGCUGAAUCCUGAGGGGGGACGUCGGAGAAGAGGAAACGGGAAAAACAGUGUGACAUCCCUGCAGGUGAAGACUUCUUCACACUGAUGGACAAGAGGACUCUCCAGUGUACCUGUAGACGUUGAUGGGCUCGGGGUUGGAGCUCCACACUCGAAGGCUUUCUUGGAUGACCUGCUGGAUUUUGGGGAGUGUGUCAACAAAAUAAUGGAAACGCUUCGUGAAUCCAUGAAAAAGACUCUGAAGUAAACACAGCUGCAAAGAAGCCAGACGAUAUGCAAACCAGAAACCAGGAAGUGAUGGUGGGAGUCAAAGCCUUGCGGCCAUGCACAGG